AUUGAACGCUGGCGGCAGGCCUAACACAUGCAAGUCGAACGGUAACAGGAAACAGCUUGCUGUUUCGCUGACGAGUGGCGGACGGGUGAGUAAUGUCUGGGAAACUGCCUGAUGGAGGGGGAUAACUACUGGAAACGGUAGCUAAUACCGCAUAACGUCGCAAGACCAAAGAGGGGGACCUUCGGGCCUCUUGCCAUCGGAUGUGCCCAGAUGGGAUUAGCUAGUAGGUGGGGUAAAGGCUCACCUAGGCGACGAUCCCUAGCUGGUCUGAGAGGAUGACCAGCCACACUGGAACUGAGACACGGUCCAGACUCCUACGGGAGGCAGCAGUGGGGAAUAUUGCACAAUGGGCGCAAGCCUGAUGCAGCCAUGCCGCGUGUAUGAAGAAGGCCUUCGGGUUGUAAAGUACUUUCAGCGGGGAGGAAGGGAGUAAAGUUAAUACCUUGGCUCAUUGACGUUACCCGCAGAAGAAGCACCGGCUAACUCCGUG
rnacentral:rRNA from 1 species